rnacentral:lncRNA from 1 species
GCUCAAGUGUUUGUUUAAGUGGCGUUUUGUGCCUAUAGGACACUGAGACUGGGUGUGAGGUUUUAGCCCAUAAAGGUUUUGUUGACUUGAAGAUGCGGUUGACUAAAAAUUAAAGCAAGGAAGCUAGGAAUUCCCCCACUUCGCUACCCCAUAAAUCGUCCUUUGAUGGUAUUACUUUACUCGUGGCGUCUGCUAUGUGUCUGUUCUCAAGGCGCUUCCUCAAAUUUAGAAGCAAAAAGACUUUAACAAGACAAAAAUCAAUAGCCUGUUAGUUUAGCAGUUGGAGUGGAAAUCAAUUAAGUCAGCUGAGGGAAAAAAAGUAAUAGGAUCUCUUCAAAAUCCAAAUCCAUAAUUUUUAAAGGACAGGGAAAAAGCUGGACCCCAAUUUUUUAACGUAAAAUAAUGAGAUGCUAUAAAGUGGGUGGCUGUAUAUUAAUUUGUUCAACUAAUUUUUAUUACAGUACUUAAGGGAAUAACCCUGACUUCAACGAACUCAACGAUUAGUACUUUGGGGCUGAUUACUUUUUUAGUCCUUUCAUAGGACCCA